GAAUAAGUACAGCCUGAGCAAUGACUGUGCAUUCUGCAUCAAUAACCCUCAAUCUUGAGCUGGAGGGACCAUCUUUAGGGAUUGCCACUCUGCAAGCAGGUUGCUAGCCAAUGUGCUGGUGCAGAGGAGACAAGCUGACCAGUUUUCAGGUUCCUGUAGAUGUACAGAGAUGUCCUCAGACUGCACAUUUGACUUAUAAAGUGGAAAAAUAUCAACAGCCUAAGGGUCAAAUUAUGGUAACUUGGUAUUCUCUUCUGGAUUAUCUCUUGCAACUCGUGUCAAAUCUCAUUUAUGCAUGUGGGAAGAGGAAGGAGAAGAAGAGAGGGAACACAUUCCAGAAAGUAUAGAUGGAUGAUGCUAAAUACAUCUGACAACCACUCAAGCUAGCAACCUCCUUGCACUGUCCUCGUCUAAAAAAUGAGCAACCCAAAGAGCAAGAGCUCUGAGGCAUAAGUGGUUCUCUGAAUUACAGAAAAAACAUUCCUUCUCAUGCAGAUUUGAAGUAAUCCUGUCAUGAUCUGGUGCUGAGCAUCAUAACUCCUUGAGUUCUAGGCUGCCCAGAAGACUGGAAUGGUAAAGCCCACUGUUUUAUUUGUUCUAUGAAAUUGCCUAAAUUUAGUUAUUUCACAGAUAUCCUGAGCCUUGUAUAUAUGGGGAGAUGAGUGAUUUGGAAAUGGAGUUCUGUGAUGUGUUGUUAUACACAGGUACCAUUAGCUGAAACACUAUGGCCAAAAUCAUAGAACCUGAUUCACCCCGGUGUUAAUCCUGUUGAAUACCAGUGGUGGCUCAGGCCCACAAAUGACAGGGAUUCCCCCCUGUGAAACCUACAACAUACACUAGCUCAGAAGUGUUUGAGAAUACUGAGAAAUUCCUUCAAAGGAUAUGGUAUGACUCUAAAGGAUCCUCUCAAGGAAACUACGGGAAUUCAAAACAUUAUCAAAUGGCACUCAGUGGUAAUUUUCAAAAGCAUCACAAAAUUAUUGGCUGAAUGGAUUUUAUCCCAAAAUUAGCAAUAGUGGCCAGAAGCACACCUGAAACAGAUAUGAAAUAUGACAUACAAUAAAUCAUUCCUUACAAACUGCUAAGUACUGAUCUGCAACGGUCUUUCAGAACUUAGUUUGCUGCAUCUAAGUGCAAAAUACAUGUAGCAAUAAUCAAGUGGCAGGAUACUGUAUUUUAGCGUUUUGUUAACUUUUUUUAAAAAUGAUUUCCCUGUACUUUUACAUCAGUAUACUGACAUUUUAUAAUUAUUUUAUAAUAUGUUAUAACUUUCCUUUAGCUAAGCCCCCUCCCUAAUUAAAAAUGAGAUAAAGCUGAAGUAUGACUGAUACUCUUAGUCAUGUUUAUGCUGUCUGCAGCUUUCUUCAAUACUUUUGUGAUGUGCUUAUAGUUUAAAAAUCAACCUUUACUGAUUACUUACUAGCACCAAGAUUUUAGCAAUGGUAGCUGCACUUACAAUGGGUAGAGUGCAUCUGGUAUUCCUUCUUCUCAAUACACGAGAAUCUACAAAUUUGCAAAAUGUAUCAAUAAACAGAUAUAACCAAUGCUUUGUAAGAAUGAGAGAACAAAACUGAUUGCCAUUGUUCUAGAGUUGGUGACAAUCCAUGGCAUUGUAUGCACUGUACAAAUAGAGUAAUAUGCUGAUAUUAAUAUACAGUAUGCACUGUACAAAU